rnacentral:rRNA from 1 species
GUUUGAUCCUGGCUCAGAACGAACGCUGGCGGCGUGCCUAACACAUGCAAGUCGAACGUGAUCCAGAGCUUGCUCUGGUGAAAGUGGCGCACGGGUGAGUAACGCGUGGAUAACCUACCCUGGUAUCCGGGAUAACAUUCCGAAGGGGGUGCUAAUACCGGAUAAGCCCACGGGCUCUUUGGAGCUUGCGGGAAAAGGUGGCCUCUAUUUAUAAGCUACUGUAUCAGGAUGGGUCCGCGUACUAUUAGCUAGUUGGCGGUGUAACGGACCACCAAGGCGACGAUGGUUAGCUGGUCUGAGAGGAUGAUCAGCCACACUGGAACUGAGACACGGUCCAGACUCCUACGGGAGGCAGCAGUGGGGAAUUUUGCGCAAUGGGGGAAACCCUGACGCAGCAACGCCGCGUGAGUGAUGAAGGCCUUUGGGUCGUAAAGCUCUGUCAGAGGGGAAGAAAUGAUAUAGUGCUAAUACCACUUUAUCUUGACGGUACCCUCAAAGGAAGCACCGGCUAACUCCGUGCCAGCAGCCGCGGUAAUAC